GCUGAGUGGCUAAAGAUGUGUGAAGUC
rnacentral:sRNA from 1 species